rnacentral:lncRNA from 1 species
CUUUCAGCCUCAACUUAAGAGUAACUUAGACACUCUACAUUAGAUGUGUACAUGAUGAUUACAUUUCUCUUUUGCCAUUUCCUCACAGGAUUUUCUCUGGGGGUUCAGGUCCAACAGUCUCCAUCUGCUCUCAUCACAAAGGCUGGUGAUGAUGUGCAGCUUGUCUGUACCCACAAACAACCUGACUACACAAUGAUGCUGUGGUACCAGCACUCACCAGAAGACAAGUUUCUAAAGCUCAUUGGAUAUCUGGAUUACAGCAGAGUGACAUAUGAAGAUUUAAAUGAGAAGCAUUUCAAUAUUACUGGAGAUUUAAGUGGAAAUACAGCCAAGAAUGGUUCUUUAUUUAUAGUGGACCUACAAGAGUCUGAGCACAGUGCAGUGUACUACUGUGCUGCUCGAUAUGCACAUUGAUGUAGAUCUCCUUCGAACAUACACAAAAACUGAACACCUCUAUCAGCUGUGGUUUAAGUCAGCUGGCUGCAGUCAAAGUUUCUGUCAUGGUUCCUGUCAGAUUCCUACAUCAAAUUCUCAUGUUUUGAGUCAAUUCUUUUAGUCAGUCCAGUGAUAUAGCAAGAGCAGCUGUAUUAGUCUUCGUCUUGAAACUUUCAAUACAGACAAUUACCUUCAUUAGAUACAAAUUCAACAACAAUUUGUUUUUUAUUAUCUUGUCAUCUUAUAGGUAUGUGCAAACAGUUCUUUUAUCACAUUCCCAAGCCAAUAAACCACGAGUGACUGACUCUUUCAAUAGGUUUUUCACUGGGGGUUCAGAUACAUCAGUCUCCCUCUGAUGUUAUCAGAGAAGCUGGCGAGAAUGUGCAACUUUACUGCACACAUGGAAAAAGUGACUACAGAGUGAUGCUGUGGUACCAGAAGUCAACAGAGGACACAGCUCUAAAACUUCUUGGUUAUGGUCUUUAGAGAAUUAAAUGUUAUUUUUCUGGCUGUCAUGUAGUAGUUUAAGCAGUACUCUCACCAAUCCCAUGAACAAUAUGCUAAAUUCUAGCUAGAUCAGAUAUUUAAGGACAAUUUCAGCAAUCAGUAGAGAGAUUGAUAUGAGCCCCCUACUUGCCUGCUGAGUCCAUGUAUGUUUUUUUAUGUGUAGUAACCACAAUGAAGCACAGAGCAAAUUAAAUUAAAAUAUAUUCUUGGUGGGGUAAUCACUGUAAUUUAACAGACAUAAAGGCAU